UACGUAGGCAGCGAGCGUUGUUCGGAGUUACUGGGCGUAAAGAGUGCGUAGGCGGUGCGGUAAGUCUGGUGUGAAAUCUCCCGGCUCAACUGGGAGGGUGCGCUAGAAACUGCCGUGCUUGAGUGUGGGAGAGGUAAGCGGAAUUCCUGGUGUAGCGGUGAAAUGCGUAGAUAUCAGGAAGAACACCGAUGGCGAAAGCAGCUCUCUGGGACGGUACUGACGCUGAGGCGCGAAAGCGUGGGGAGCGAACAGG
rnacentral:rRNA from 1 species